AUUUAUCUUAUAUGAUUAAUUAUUUUGUAGCAAUUUAUUAAUUUAUAACAAAAAUUUUUUGUACAAUAGAUAUACCUAACCUACUUAAUUAUUUGCACAAAGAAAAUCAAGCACAUGAGAUUUUUUAAACAAGUAGUUAAAAUAUCUGGUUACUAAUCUUUUAAAGAUCUUCAGUUUUAAAUCUCAGGGGAGGAUUUCUCAACUUUACAUUUGAAAAAAGAAAUUGUUAUAAUAUAACAAAUUCCAAUAGUCUGUUUAAAAAGAGGUAAAUGAAUGGAUGACACAAUAUGUAUUAUAAAGCGCAAUGAAAUUCUGUAUUAUACAACAUAUAUAAUAAAAUAAUACCAAAAGUUAUAGAAG